AUACCCUCAAGCUCAGCUUGGUGUUGGAGGCCGCCCCGGUGGGGCGCCCCCGAAACUCAGCGGCGACGUAGCCGGACUCCCUGGCGUAGUGACACUUGCUGUCGCCCCGGAGUGGUCGGUCGUGCGUCAGCCGGACAACGCCCCAUUUUCUGA
rnacentral:misc_RNA from 1 species